GCUGGGCAUGGUGGUGCAUGCCUGUAAUCCCAGCUACUCAGGAGGCUGAGACAGGAGAAUCACUUGAACCCAGGAGGCGGAGGUUGAGGUGAGCCGAGAUCGUACAACUGCACUCCAGCCUGGGGGACAGAGUGAAACCCUGUCUCAA
rnacentral:SRP_RNA from 1 species